rnacentral:rRNA from 1 species
GACGAACGCUGGCGGCGUGCUUAACACAUGCAAGUCGAACGAUGAAGCUGGAGCUUGCUCCGGUGGAUUAGUGGCGAACGGGUGAGUAACACGUGAGCAAUCUGCCCUUCACUCUGGGAUAACUGCGGGACACUGUAGCUAAUACCGGAUACGAGGCUUGGAGGCCUCUCCAGGUCUGGAAAGAAUUUCGGUGAAGGAUGAGCUCGCGGCCUAUCAGCUUGUUGGUGAGGGAAUGGCCCACCAAGGCGACGACGGGUAGCCGGCCUGAGAGGGUGACCGGCCACACUGGGACUGAGACACGGCCCAGACUCCUACGGGAGGCAGCAGUGGGGAAUAUUGCACAAUGGGCGAAAGCCUGAUGCAGCAACGCCGCGUGAGGGAUGAAGGCCUUCGGGUUGUAAACCUCUUUUAGCAGGGAAGAAGCGAAAGUGACGGUACCUGCAGAAAAAGCACCGGCUAACUACGUGCCAGCCGCCGCGGUAA